GAUGAACGCUGGCGGCGUGCCUAAUACAUGCCAGUCGAGCGAACGGACGAGAAGCUUGCUUUUCUGAUGUUAGCGGCGGACGGGUGAGUAACACGUGGAUAACCUACCUAUAAGACUGGGAUAACUUCGGGAAACCGGAGCUAAUACCGGAUAAUAUUUUGAACCGCAUGGUUCAAAAGUGAAAGACGGUCUUGCUGUCACUUAUAGAUGGAUCCGCGCUGCAUUAGCUAGUUGGUAAGGUAACGGCUUACCAAGGCAACGAUGCAUAGCCGACCUGAGAGGGUGAUCGGCCACACUGGAACUGAGACACGGUCCAGACUCCUACGGGAGGCAGCAGUAGGGAAUCUUCCGCAAUGGGCGAAAGCCUGACGGAGCAACGCCGCGUGAGUGAUGAAGGUCUUCGGAUCGUAAAACUCUGUUAUUAGGGAAGAACAUAUGUGUAAGUAACUGUGCACACCUUGACGGUACCUAAUCAGAAAGCCACGGCUAACUACGUG
rnacentral:rRNA from 1 species